UCUGGAAGGCCAACACAUAAGAAUGAAGCACAGAGGAGUAAUAGGCUUGGAAAUGUAGUCAUCAACAAAUAGGUGGUAAUUAAAACCAGGAUGAUGCAUGCAAUUGCCCAGGGAAACAUGACGUAAGAAUAGAGAUGGGCUGAGGAUAGAACCUUAGGAAAUAGCAGAGGAAGAUAAAGAGGAGCUCAUGAAGGAGAUAACAGGAUGCAGUCAAAGAAUGAAGAAUUGUGGGUUGCUGAAGCACAGUUUCCAUUCUCUGCGCUUUUUCAGUAGUUGCUUGAAGACAACAUGGGUUCAAUUGUGGAACACUGGGCUGCCCAAGCUGCUGAAUUACUUGCUGAACUGGAUGCUGAAGAAUACUUGCUCUUCCAGAAGUCUGUGUCACCAUAAUUGGUACAUUGACUUUGUAAAGGUGACCUUAAAAAGGAGAAAACAAAACCGAACUUGGAGGAAUUUGCA